rnacentral:misc_RNA from 1 species
UUUUGGUUUGGGCAUUUCGUCGAACAAUUCGUGUGGUUUGGAAGGAUAAUGCAUCUCUUAAUGCUUCUGGAUUUUAUUAAUUGAUGGUUAUUUCUAUUUGAACUUGCAUAUGGUAGUUGUCUUGUGCUUAGAAUUAGUGUUUUCUUAUAUAGUUAUUGUGUUGGACAAAUGGUGUCUGUUGUUAUUUUACUCCUACUGUCUAAUUUUUAUGCAUAAUAUUGUUAGUGUUCUCUUCUGAAUGUUCAAUUCAAUUUUUUAUGUUAUAAUUGCAAAAUUAUUUCUUGACUUUGUUUUAUUGAAACUUUUACACACUGCACUUACAAGAUGCUUUCUUCUCAAAUAAAAGGCAAAUGGAUUUAAUUUUGAAUCCUCUAUAAAUAGUUAUAUAAAUGAUACCAACGGGAAAUUAUUGAAUACACCUGGAGCAUUGCUCUUUCAUUUCAUUCACAUAAAUGCGGAAUCCACCUUCCACAAUAUGUGAAGGGAUCCGCAUGUGAGUAUAAGCAGCAUCACAAUUAUGUGCUUCGGGUGCAUCUAAUAACCUAUAAUACCAUGUGUACUGCUGUUUAUUUUCAUUUUGAUGCAACUCCCUUUAUGUGGCCAUAUUCUUGAAUUUGAGGCGCUUUUCCCACUUAAUUUUUUUGUCCAUAUGCAGAUAAUAUAGAUAUCCUGUUGCUUAACCUCUACAUGUUGGUUAUUUACUGCUCCCUGCCUAUGACAGACAUGUAAAUGCUGCCAUUAAUUAUCAGCAAUCAUUGUUUUGCUUAUUUUUAUAAGUUAAAAAAUUCAAAUGUGUUAAAAAUGUUGGUUGAUAAUUAUUCCUUAAACAUCAAUUUUUAGAGUUAUAGAAGACAGAUCAAUCAAGAAAAGGUUGAAGAACUAACUGGAGACUCUUAUUUAAUUUUAAUAAAAUGCUUUGUGAGAAAGUAUAUGUUAUUAUUCAUCAAAUACACCGGAAUGAUCUUUUUUUUCUUUGUAUUAUCUUUCAUUAUGUGGUUAUUGUAUAGCAGAAAGUAAGGAAAAGAUAGAAGGAGAUAUUUGGUGUUAAAGUGCAUCAUUCAAUCAAACUUGUGGGGUGACCAAUGAAAUGGCUUUUUUUUUUUUUAAAUGAUUCACAAAUGCUGCUACUCUCUCAUUAUAUCUUCAAGUCUAAUGUAAUUUAUGUUCUUUAGUAACUUCUUAUGUUGCCAGACUCUCUUUGACCGUUUCUUAAUUUUCUAAUGCUCUUUUCUAUAUACCCCUCCCAG